rnacentral:rRNA from 1 species
GCUGGCGGCGUGCCUCAGACAUGCAAGUCGAACGAUUAAACUUUCCUUCGGGAAAGAUAUAAAGUGGCGCACGGGUGAGUAACACGUAAGUAAUCUACCUUCGAGUGGGGAAUAACGUCGGGAAACCGACGCUAAUACCGCAUAAUGCAGCGGCACCUAAUGGUGACAGUUGUUAAAGGAGCAAUUCGCUUGAAGAGGAGCUUGCGGCAGAUUAGCUAGUUGGUAAGGUAACGGCUUACCAAGGCUACGAUCUGUAACCGGUCUAAGAGGACGGUCGGUCACACUGACACUGAAUAACGGGUCAGACUCCUACGGGAGGCAGCAGUCGGGAAUUUUGGGCAAUGGGCGAGAGCCUGACCCAGCAACGCCGCGUGAAGGAUGAAGUAUUUCGGUAUGUAAACUUCGAAAGAAUGGGAAGAAUCAAUGACGGUACCAUUUAUAAGGUCCGGCUAACUACGUGCCAGCAGCCGCGGUAAUACGUAGGGACCAAGCGUUGUUCGGAUUUACUGGGCGUAAAGGGCGCGUAGGCGGCAUGACAAGUCACUUGUGAAAUCUCUGGGCUUAACCCAGAACGG